UUAAAUGGCCGCGGUAUUUUGACCGUGCAAAGGUAGCAUAAUCAUUAGUUUUUUAAUUAAAAGCUGGUAUGAAAGGCUGAAUGAGAAAGUGACUGUCUUUAUAGUAUUUAAUUAGAAUUUUAUUUUUAAGUAAAAAAGCUUAAAUUUUAUUUAAAGACGAGAAGACCCUUUAGAGUUUUAUAUAUUUAAAACUUUAAAACUUUAGUAUUAAUUAUAAAAAUUUUUAGUUAUAUUUAAUUGGGGCGAUUAGAAAAUUCAUUAAACUUUUUUUUAUAUUUAACAUUAAUAUAUGAUUAUAUGAUCCAUAUAUUGUGAUUAUAAGAAUAAAUUACCUAAGGGAUAACAGCGUUAUUUUUUUUGAGAGUUCUUAUCGAAAAAGAAGAUUGCGACCUCGAUGUUGGAUUAAAAUUAAAUUAUGGUGUAGAGGCUAUAACUUUAGGUCUGUUCGACCUUUAAAAUUUUACAUGAUCUGAGUUUAAACCGGUUUAAGCCAGGUUGGUUUCUAUCUUAAAUUUAUUAUAAUAUUUUAGUACGAAAGGACCAAAUAUUAUAUUUAUAAUAUAAUAAUUUGAAUUAAAUUAAU
rnacentral:rRNA from 1 species